AGGGUUAGUCGGGACCUAAGCCGAGGCCGAUAGGCGUAGGCGAUGGACAACAGGUUGAUAUUCCUGUACCAGUUGUUUUUGUUUGAGCAAUGGAGGGACGCAGUAGGCUAAGGAAUGCAUGCGAUUGGAAGUGCAUGUCCAAGCAAUGAGUCUUGAGUAGAGUUAAAUGCUUUACUCUUUAAGGACAAGUUGUGACGGGGAGCGAAAUAAUAGUAGCGAAGUUCCUGAUGUCACACUGCCAAGAAAAGCUUCUAGUGAGAAAACAACUGCCCGUACCGUAAACCGACACAGGUAGUCGAGGAGAGUAUCCUAAGGUGAGCGAGCGAACUCUCGUUAAGGAACUCGGCAAAAUGACCCCGUAACUUCGGGAGAAGGGGUGCUGACUUCGGUCAGCCGCAGUGAAUAGGCCCAAGCGACUGUUUAUCAAAAACACAGGUCUCUGCAAAAUCGUAAGAUGAAGUAUAGGGGCUGACGCCUGCCCGGUGCUGGAAGGUUAAGAGGAUGGGUUAGCUUCGGCGAAGCUCAGAAUUGAAGCCCCAGUAAACGGCGGCCGUAACUAUAACGGUCCUAAGGUAGCGAAAUUCCUUGUCGGGUAAGUUCCGACCCGCACGAAAGGCGUAACGAUUUGGGCACUGUCUCAACGAGAGACUCGGUGAAAUUUUAGUACCUGUGAAGAUGCAGGUUACCCGCGACAGGACGGAAAGACCCCAUGGAGCUUUACUGUAGUUUGAUAUUGAGUGUUUGUACCACAUGUACAGGAUAGGUAGGAGCCGAUGAGACCGGAACGCUAGUUUCGGAGGAGGCGCUGGUGGGAUACUACCCUUGUGUUAUGAACCCUCUAACCCGCACCACUAAUCGUGGUGGGAGACAGUGUCAGAUGGGCAGUUUGACUGGGGCGGUCGCCUCCUAAAAGGUAACGGAGGCGCCCAAAGGUUCCCUCAGAAUGGUUGGAAAUCAUUCGAAGAGUGUAAAGGCAGAAGGGAGCUUGACUGCGAGACCUACAAGUCGAGCAGGGACGAAAGUCGGGCUUAGUGAUCCGGUGGUUCCGCAUGGAAGGGCCAUCGC
rnacentral:rRNA from 1 species